AGAGGUGCUUGCACCUUUCAAGUGAGUGGCGAACGGGUGAGUAACACGUGGAUAACCUACCUCAAGGUUGGGGAUAACAUUUGGAAACAGAUGCUAAUACCGAAUAAAACUUAGUAUCGCAUGAUACCAGGUUAAAAGGCGCUAUGGCGUCACCUAGAGAUGGAUCCGCGGUGCAUUAGUUAGUUGGUGGGGUAAAGGCUUACCAAGACAAUGAUGCAUAGCCGAGUUGAGAGACUGAUCGGCCACAUUGGGACUGAGACACGGCCCAAACUCCUACGGGAGGCUGCAGUAGGGAAUCUUCCACAAUGGGCGAAAGCCUGAUGGAGCAACGCCGCGUGUGUGAUGAAGGCUUUCGGGUCGUAAAGCACUGUUGUAUGGGAAGAACAGCUAGAAUAGGGAAUGACUUUAGUUUGACGGUACCAUACCAGAAAGGGACGGCUAAAUACGUGCCAGCAGCCGCGGUAAUACGUAUGUCCCGAGCGUUAUCCGGAUUUAUUGGGCGUAAAGCGAGCGCAGACGGUUGAUUAAGUCUGAUGUGAAAGCCCGGAGCUCAACUCCGGAAAGGCAUUGGAAACUGGACAACUUGAGUGCAGUAGAGGUAAGUGGAACUCCAUGUGUAGCGGUGGAAUGCGUAGAUAUAUGGAAGAACACCAGCGGCGAAGGCGGCUUACUGGACUGUAACUGACGUUGAGGCUCGAAAGUGUGGGUAGCAAACAGGAUUAGAUACCCUGGUAGUCCACACCGUAAACGAUGAACACUAGGUGUUAGGAGGUUUCCGCCUCUUAGUGCCG
rnacentral:rRNA from 1 species